GACGAACGCUGGCGGCGUGCUUAACACAUGCAAGUCGAACGGAAAGGCUCCAGCUUGCUGGAGUACUCGAGUGGCGAACGGGUGAGUAACACGUGGGUAAUCUGCCCUGCACUCUGGGAUAAGCCUGGGAAACUGGGUCUAAUACUGGAUAUGACCUUUCUCCUUAUGGGGUUUGGUGGAAAGUUUUUCGGUGUAGGAUGAGCCCGCGGCCUAUCAGCUUGUUGGUGGGGUGAUGGCCUACCAAGGCGACGACGGGUAGCCGGCCUGAGAGGGUGAUCGGCCACAUUGGGACUGAGAUACGGCCCAGACUCCUACGGGAGGCAGCAGUGGGGAAUAUUGCACAAUGGGCGGAAGCCUGAUGCAGCGACGCCGCGUAAGGGAUGACGGCCUUCGGGUUGUAAACCUCUUUCAGCAGGGACGAAGCGUAAGUGACGGUACCUGCAGAAGAAGCACCGGCUAACUAUGUG
rnacentral:rRNA from 1 species